AGAGUUUGAUCCUGGCUCAGAUUGAACGCUGGCGGCAGGCUUAACACAUGCAAGUCGAGCGGUAGCACAAGGGAGCUUGCUCCCUGGGUGACGAGCGGCGGACGGGUGAGUAAUGUCUGGGAAACUGCCUGAUGGAGGGGGAUAACUACUGGAAACGGUAGCUAAUACCGCAUAACGUCGCAAGACCAAAGAGGGGGACCUUCGGGCCUCUUGACAUCAGAUGUGCCCAGAUGGGAUUAGCUAGUAGGUGGGGUAAUGGCUCACCUAGGCGACGAUCCCUAGCUGGUCUGAGAGGAUGACCAGCCACACUGGAACUGAGACACGGUCCAGACUCCUACGGGAGGCAGCAGUGGGGAAUAUUUCACAAUGGGCGCAAGCCUGAUGCAGCCAUGCCGCGUGUGUGAAGAAGGCCUUCGGGUUGUAAAGCACUUUCAGCGAGGAGGAAGGUGGUGAGCUUAAUACGCUCAUCAAUUGACGUUACUCGCAGAAGAAGCACCGGCUAACUCCGUGCCAGCAGCCGCGGUAAUACGGAGGGUGCAAGCGUUAAUCGGAAUUACUGGGCGUAAAGCGCACGCAGGCGGUUUGUUAAGUCAGAUGUGAAAUCCCCGGGCUCAACCUGGGAACUGCAUUUGAAACUGGCAAGCUAGAGUCUCGUAGAGGGGGGUAGAAUUC
rnacentral:rRNA from 1 species